rnacentral:rRNA from 1 species
UACGUAGGUGGCAAGCGUUGUUCGGAAUUAUUGGGCGUAAAGCGCGCGUAGGCGGACCUGCAAGUCGGGGGUGAAAGCCCGAGGCUCAACCUCGGAACUGCCUUCGAUACUGCGGGUCUCGAGUCCGGGAGAGGUGAGUGGAAUUCCUAGUGUAGAGGUGAAAUUCGUAGAUAUUAGGAAGAACACCAGUGGCGAAGGCGGCUCACUGGCCCGGUACUGACGCUGAGGCGCGAAAGCGUGGGGAGCAAACAGG